GACAUCAUCCCAAAAAAUAUAAAAUCAUACCACAAACUAACCAUCGUUAUGGUAGUAAAUGUGAGCUUUACGCUGAAACAUCCAUUGGCUCCUUAGGAAUCUGGUGAUUGCCCCAAUAGUUGGAGAAUCCCCAACCACAUAAAGGAUCAGUGCGUAUUUCCAAUUUUCAGCAUCCUUUUCGACCUCAACUUAAUCAUAUUGAACCAUUUUAACACCAUUUUUUUAUUAUCGGAGCAAUAAAUUGCAGAUUGAUACCUUUUAAAGCUACUCAAUUCCAUGCGAAUAGAUUCACCCACGACUUCUUCUCUUUUGUAGGUGGCGUGUUCUAUGCUUUCGUGGCUGGCCUUUCGCCAUGCCAGCAUCGAUGGCGUACGCUGGUUGCACCACUUAAGUGAGCCUAUAUAGAGAUAUGAUAUCAUGUUAUCGUGCAUCGAGAGAAAAAAGUCCCUCAAUUUUUAACAAAUGAUUAUAAGAGAAAA
rnacentral:lncRNA from 1 species